GUUCCAGGACACAGUCACGGGCUCUGGGAAGUAGCCAGAGACCAGGCAGCCCAGAGACACCGUGGAGCCAGACGUGGUGCCACAUUUGGACAGCGGGAAGACCGACGGGGUCGUGGUGGAGGCUUGGGAGACGGUGACCAGGGUCCCUUGGCCCCAGUAGUCCAUUCCAUAGUAAUCACAGCCUCUGACACAGUAAUACACAGCAGUGUCCUUGGCUCUCAGGCUGUUCAUUUGCAGAUACAGCAUGUUCUUGGCGUUGUCCCUGGAGAUGGUGAAUCGG